GGAAUAUUGGUCAAUGGACGAGAGUCUGAACCAGCCAAGUAGCGUGCAGGAUGACGGCCCUAUGGGUUGUAAACUGCUUUUAUAUAGGGAUAAAGUCGGGGACGUGUCCCCGUUUGUAGGUACUAUAUGAAUAAGGACCGGCUAAUUCCGUGCCAGCAGCCGCGGUAAUACGGAAGGUCCGGGCGUUAUCCGGAUUUAUUGGGUUUAAAGGGAGCGCAGGCCGACUGGUAAGCGUGACGUGAAAUGUAGCCGCUCAACGGCUGAACUGCGUCGCGAACUGUCAGUCUUGAGUGAGUUCGAUGUUGGCGGAAUUCGUGGUGUAGCGGGGAAAUGCUUAGAUAUCACGAAGAACUCCGAUUGCGAAGGCAGCCAACAAGGCCUUUACUGACGCUAAAGCUCGAAGGUGCGGGUAUCGAACA
rnacentral:rRNA from 1 species